AGAGUUUGAUCCUGGCUCAGGACGAACGCUGGCGGCGUGCCUAAUACAUGCAAGUCGAGCGGACAGAAGGGAGCUUGCUCCUGGAUGUUAGCGGCGGACGGGUGAGUAACACGUGGGUAACCUGCCUGUAAGACUGGGAUAACUCCGGGAAACCGGAGCUAAUACCGGAUAGUUCCUUGAACCGCAUGGUUCAAGGAUGAAAGACGGUUUCGGCUGUCACUUACAGAUGGACCCGCGGCGCAUUAGCUAGUUGGUGGGGUAAUGGCUCACCAAGGCGACGAUGCGUAGCCGACCUGAGAGGGUGAUCGGCCACACUGGGACUGAGACACGGCCCAGACUCCUACGGGAGGCAGCAGUAGGGAAUCUUCCGCAAUGGACGAAAGUCUGACGGAGCAACGCCGCGUGAGUGAUGAAGGUUUUCGGAUCGUAAAGCUCUGUUGUUAGGGAAGAACAAGUGCGAGAGUAACUGCUCGCACCUUGACGGUACCUAACCAGAAAGCCACGGCUAACUACGUGCCAGCAGCCGCGGUAAUACGUAGGUGGCAAGCGUUGUCCGGAAUUAUUGGGCGUAAAGGGCUCGCAGGCGGUUUCUUAAGUCUGAUGUGAAAGCCCCCGGCUCAACCGGGGAGGGUCAUUGGAAACUGGGAAACUUGAGUGCAGAAGAGGAGAGUGGAAUUCCACGUGUAGCGGUGAAAUGCGUAGAGAUGUGGAGGAACACCAGUGGCGAAGGCGACUCUCUGGUCUGUAACUGACGCUGAGGAGCGAAAGCGUGGGGAGCGAACAGGAUUAGAUACCCUGGUAGUCCACGCCGUAAACGAUGAGUGCUAAGUGUUAGGGGGUUUCCGCCCCUUAGUGCUGCAGCUAACGCAUUAAGCACUCCGCCUGGGGAGUACGGUCGCAAGACUGAAACUCAAAGGAAUUGACGGGGGCCCGCACAAGCGGUGGAGCAUGUGGUUUAAUUCGAAGCAACGCGAAGAACCUUACCAGGUCUUGACAUCCUCUGACAACCCUAGAGAUAGGGCUUUCCCUUCGGGGACAGAGUGACAGGUGGUGCAUGGUUGUCGUCAGCUCGUGUCGUGAGAUGUUGGGUUAAGUCCCGCAACGAGCGCAACCCUUGAUCUUAGUUGCCAGCAUUCAGUUGGGCACUCUAAGGUGACUGCCGGUGACAAACCGGAGGAAGGUGGGGAUGACGUCAAAUCAUCAUGCCCCUUAUGACCUGGGCUACACACGUGCUACAAUGGACAGAACAAAGGGCUGCAAGACCGCAAGGUUUAGCCAAUCCCAUAAAUCUGUUCUCAGUUCGGAUCGCAGUCUGCAACUCGACUGCGUGAAGCUGGAAUCGCUAGUAAUCGCGGAUCAGCAUGCCGCGGUGAAUACGUUCCCGGGCCUUGUACACACCGCCCGUCACACCACGAGAGUUUGCAACACCCGAAGUCGGUGAGGUAACCUUUAUGGAGCCAGCCGCCGAAGGUGGGGCAGAUGAUUGGGGUGAAGUCGUAACAAGGUAACC
rnacentral:rRNA from 1 species